AUAAUCUAGAGUGGGUCUGGGGAGACACUCUAGGAUACUAAUCCCUUUUGCUUCAUUCCCCUUUUCCUUUUCAAAUCCAGGAAGCGCAGGAGGAAGAGUAAUUCCUCUGUUUUUAUUCUUUUAAAACAAAAGCAAGUGUUUUAAUUGUCUAUUUUAUUCUUAUAUUGCAACUUGGAUUAUGUACAGUGCCGAAAGAGAGAAAGAAAGGAAGAAAGGAAAUAAAGUGUGCGGUUCUAGUUAUGUAAAUACACCUUUGACUCUAAAGUCUGACAUCAGAGAAUUUGGAUGCAGUUACACAUUCUCCAUACAGGUACCCGUGAUGACAACAUUCCCUCUGACACUUAUUCAAACCAGUCUGCAAAUGGAUUGCCUUGACCAAAAAGCCACACCUCACUACAUUUAUUUCCUUCUCUUUUUGGACAAGCAUUACAAUCUUACUGGGCUGAUCUGUCUCUACUGCUAUAUUUAGAGUGGCUUGCUGGAAACAACAAUCAUGUCUGUUUUUGAAAGAGGCAACUCAUGCUAAUGAGAGAAAGCUAAAUCUGGCUUUUAGCAACAAAAAUAAAAACAAAUGUACAAAGCACAUAAGCUACACUAUUGUGGGACAGUCUGCUUCACACAAUUAUGUUUGUCCAGCCAACUGUGUUAUCAGGAAUUGCUGGGACUUCUUGUGCAUGUACAGAAAAAGAACCAUCUGAAUGUCCUAGUCUGGGCAAUGGAGCAGAACCUUCCCCUCAGCUAAUAGGAGGGCAGGCUUGAAGAGAGGGACAAAGGAACUUUUUGAUAUGUUUCAAGACAGAGGGAUUGAGAGACGAUUGGAAGGAGAGCUGAGAAGAGAAAGCUGAAUGGAGAAGAAACCAGAACGAUAAGACAGAGCCAGCUCUGGAAGACGUCAGCUGACCAGUUUAUAACUCUGGACCUAUAGCUGAGACCUGGUGCCAGAAGCAAAGGACUAAACUGAGGGAAAGGGAGAGGCUGCCCUUUAGUUGCCGGUCUGGGGAGCUGUUGUACCAUAGCCAGAGGAGAGGAUUUGCAAAGAACAUGAACAAUUGCCCCUUCUACGCUAUUGUGUAAUGCCAAUCCCCAUGACAAUAGUAUCUGUGCCGCAACUAUAGCCAUUCCAAGCAUACAUACAGACAUACGCAAGCUACUUUUUUCAUGCUUAUGCUUUAUUUAUGUGUUUUUUGUUCACACUCAUGUUUUAGCAUAAAAAUGAGUUUCAAUUUUUUCGAUUAAAAGGGCAAACGCCAGCCAUUAUUCCAUUGUCAACAAAUUCUGGCUGCGCGUGAUGAGACUUGUAGUUCAACAACAGUUGUAGAGUCAGGGUUGCCUAUCUGACCUAGAACAUGCACUUUCUAGCAAAUGACCAGGAUAUCUAAAAGUCCGUCUCCAGUCCACUCAUAAAGUCCUGUCCAUCCCAUACAACUGGCUGGGGCGGCUUUUAUGUGGGUUCCUAUGGUAGCUGAAAUAAGCUGGUAGGAACAAGGGAUAGGGCCUUAUCAGCAGUGCAAUGCUCUUCCCAGAUGCUGAAUUAUUGUUUUUAACCUUUGUAAGCUGCUUUGGGUUUUCUUAUAGCUUGUGGACUGAAUUUGGUUUACAGAACUUUUAAAAAAAUUAUUAUUGUGGACUUAAUUUGGUUUACAAAACAUUUUUAUCCUAUUGCCAAAUUUUAAUUGUGUGAUAAACAUUUUACGUGUAGUUUCACUUGCAGGAAGAAUGUUGUGAGAGAGAAAAUUUACACUGUGAUGUUACCCCUCUCUUUGGGUUCUGAUAUGUAAUGUGUUCAAUAACUACGAUACUGACUUUGCUGUAAAGGA